rnacentral:tRNA from 1 species
AGAAAGCUAAUUGAAUUAAUUGAUUAAUAUACCUGCCUUGGGAGCAGGGGGUCGGAGGUUCAAAUCCUCUCUCCCA